AAUAAACGCUGGCGGCGUGCCUAACACAUGCAAGUCGAGCGAGAAAGUUCCUUCGGGAGCGAGUACAGCGGCGAACGGGUGAGUAACGCGUGAGAAUCUACCGUUUAGUGGAGAAUACCCUCGAGAAAUCGAGGUUAAUACUGCAUACGUCCCUUCGGGGAGAAAGAUGGCCUCUUUGCUAUCGCUAAAUGAGGAGCUUGCGUACUAUUAGCUAGUUGGUAGGGUAAAGGCCUACCAAGGCGAUGAUGGUUAGCCGGCCUGAGAGGGUGUUCGGCCACACUGGAACUUAGACACGGUCCAGACUCCUACGGGAGGCAGCAGUGAGGAAUCUUGCACAAUGGGCGAAAGCCUGAUGCAGCGACGCCGCGUGGGGGAUGAAGGUCUUAGGAUCGUAAACUCCUGUUAAGUGGGAAGAAAGGCUCAUCAAUAAUACGGAUGAGCGAUGACGGUACCAUUAGAGAAAGCACCGGCUAACUUCGUGCCAGCAGCCGCGGUAAUACGAGGGGUGCGAGCGUUAUUCGGAAUUAUUGGGCGUACAGGGCGCGUAGACGGCAUGUUAAGUCAACUGUUCAAUUCCCCGGCCUAACCGGGGGCCAGCAGUAGAUACUGAUGUGCUUGAGGGUGGAAGAGAGAAGUGGAAUUCUCGGAGUAGCGGUAAAAUGCGUAGAUCUCGAGAGGAACACCGAUGGCGAAGGCAGCUUCUUGGUCCAUUCCUGACGUUGAGGCGCGAAAGCGUGGGGAGCAAACAGGAUUAGAUACCCUGGUAGUCCACGCCGUAAACGAUGAUCACUAGACGUUAGUCCCCUUUAAGGGGAUUAGUGUCGUAGCUAACGCGUUAAGUGAUUCGCCUGGGGACUACGGUCGCAAGACUA
rnacentral:rRNA from 1 species